CUCAUUCUCUUCUUCAGACCUGCAUUUUUGCUCAGUGCAGUGCGUAGGGCAGCGACGACGGCAUGGAAACGCACAGACAGGAAACAGGAAUGCCCCUGUGUGCACAAACACAUUAAGAAACGAGAGUGUGUGGGGGAGGAGCCUCGAGGUCGAUGCAGCCUCAGCGCCCCCACGCUGCGCAGUCUGCAGAUCUGUGUGCCCGAUCAGAUGUGAGGCUCAGCGUGAGCAGGGCCUGGAUCCUUGGUGUCUGUGCCUGACAUGUGGGGCUCUCUGCAGUCGCUCAUUAAUGUAAAUAAAUAACGGCAUGGA
rnacentral:lncRNA from 1 species